AACGUAGGAGACAAACGUUAUCCGGAGUUACUGGGCGUAAAGGGCGUGUAGGUGGUAGUGUAAGUCUGGCGUGAAAUUUUUCGGCUUAACCGGGAAAGGUCGUCGGAUACUGCUUAACUAGAGGACGGUAGAGGCGUGUGGAAUUCCGGGUGUAGUGGUGAAAUGCGUAGAGAUCCGGAGGAACACCAGUGGCGAAGGCGACACGCUGGGCCGUACCUGACACUGAUGCGCGACAGCAUGGGGAGCAAACAGG
rnacentral:rRNA from 1 species